AAGUCGUAACAAGGUCUCCGUUGGUGAACCAGCGGAGGGAUCAUUACCGAGUUUACAACUCCCAAACCCCUGUGAACAUACCUUAACGUUGCCUCGGCGGAUCAGCCCGCGCCCCGUAAAACGGGACGGCCCGCCAGAGGACCCAAACUCCAUGAUUCGUUUCAUUAUUGAUACUUCUGAGUAAAUCAAACAAAUAAAUCAAA
rnacentral:misc_RNA from 1 species